AUUGAACGCUGGCGGCAUGCCUUACACAUGCAAGUCGAACGGUAACGGGCCUUCGGGUGCCGACGAGUGGCGAACGGGUGAGUAAUACAUCGGAACGUGCCCGAUCGUGGGGGAUAACGGGGCGAAAGCUUUGCUAAUACCGCAUACGAUCUACGGAUGAAAGCAGGGGACCGCAAGGCCUUGCGCGGACGGAGCGGCCGAUGGCAGAUUAGGUAGUUGGUGGGAUAAAAGCUUACCAAGCCGACGAUCUGUAGCUGGUCUGAGAGGAUGAUCAGCCACACUGGGACUGAGACACGGCCCAGACUCCUACGGGAGGCAGCAGUGGGGAAUUUUGGACAAUGGGCGCAAGCCUGAUCCAGCCAUGCCGCGUGCAGGAUGAAGGCCUUCGGGUUGUAAACUGCUUUUGUACGGAACGAAAAGCCUUCUUUUAAUACAGGAGGGUCAUGACGGUACCGUAAGAAUAAGCACCGGCUAACUACGUG
rnacentral:rRNA from 1 species